rnacentral:rRNA from 1 species
GACGAACGCUUUCGGCGUGCUUAACACAUGCAAGUCGAACGGAAAGGCCCUGCUUUUGUGGGGUGCUCGAGUGGCGAACGGGUGAGUAACACGUGAGUAACCUGCCCUUGACUUUGGGAUAACUUCAGGAAACUGGGGCUAAUACCGGAUAGGAGCUCCUGCUGCAUGGUGGGGGUUGGAAAGUUUCGGCGGUUGGGGAUGGACUCGCGGCUUAUCAGCUUGUUGGUGGGGUAGUGGCUUACCAAGGCUUUGACGGGUAGCCGGCCUGAGAGGGUGACCGGCCACAUUGGGACUGAGAUACGGCCCAGACUCCUACGGGAGGCAGCAGUGGGGAAUAUUGCACAAUGGGCGGAAGCCUGAUGCAGCAACGCCGCGUGCGGGAUGACGGCCUUCGGGUUGUAAACCGCUUUCGCCUGUGACGAAGCGUGAGUGACGGUAAUGGGUAAAGAAGCACCGGCUAACUACGUGCCAGCAGCCGCGGUGAUACGUAGGGUGCGAGCGUUGUCCGGAUUUAUUGGGCGUAAAGGGCUCGUAGGUGGUUGAUCGCGUCGGAAGUGUAAUCUUGGGGCUUAACCCUGAGCGUGCUUUCGAUACGGGUUGACUUGAGGAAGGUAGGGGAGAAUGGAAUUCCUGGUGGAGCGGUGGAAUGCGCAGAUAUCAGGAGGAACACCAGUGGCGAAGGCGGUUCUCUGGGCCUUUCCUGACGCUGAGGAGCGAAAGCGUGGGGAGCGAACAGGCUUAGAUACCCUGGUAGUCCACGCUGUAAACGGUGGGUACUAGGUGUGGGGUCCAUUCCACGGGUUCCGUGCCGUAGCUAACGCUUUAAGUACCCCGCCUGGGGAGUACGGCCGCAAGGCUAAAACUCAAAGGAAUUGACGGGGCCCCGCACAAGCGGCGGAGCAUGCGGAUUAAUUCGAUGCAACGCGUAGAACCUUACCUGGGUUUGACAUGGAUCGGGAGCGCUCAGAGAUGGGUGUGCCUCUUUUGGGGUCGGUUCACAGGUGGUGCAUGGCUGUCGUCAGCUCGUGUCGUGAGAUGUUGGGUUAAGUCCCGCAACGAGCGCAACCCUUGUUCACUGUUGCCAGCACGUUAUGGUGGGGACUCAGUGGAGACCGCCGGGGUCAACUCGGAGGAAGGUGGGGAUGACGUCAAGUCAUCAUGCCCCUUAUGUCCAGGGCUUCACGCAUGCUACAAUGGCUGGUACAGAGAGUGGCGAGCCUGUGAGGGUGAGCGAAUCUCGGAAAGCCGGUCUCAGUUCGGAUUGGGGUCUGCAACUCGACCUCAUGAAGUCGGAGUCGCUAGUAAUCGCAGAUCAGCAACGCUGCGGUGAAUACGUUCCCGGG